rnacentral:rRNA from 1 species
UAGGGAAUAUUGGGCAAUGGACGCAAGUCUGACCCAGCCAUGCCGCGUGCAGGAUGAAGGCCUUCUGGGUUGUAAACUGCUUUUAUCUAGGAAGAAAACGCCCAUGCGUGGGAAACUGACGGUACUAGAUGAAUAAGCACCGGCUAACUCCGUGCCAGCAGCCGCGGUAAUACGGAGGGUGCAAGCGUUGUCCGGAUUUAUUGGGUUUAAAGGGUGCGUAGGCGGCCCGGUAAGUCAGUGGUGAAAGCCUCCAGCUCAACUGGAGAACUGCCAUUGAUACUGCCGGGCUUGAGUACAGACGAGGUUGGCGGAAUUGAUUGUGUAGCGGUGAAAUGCAUAGAUACAAUCAAGAACUCCGAUUGCGUAGGCAGCUAACUAGGCUGUAACUGACGCUGAGGCACGAAAGCGUGGGGAGCGAACAGGAUUAGAUACCCUGGUAGUCCACGCUGUAAACGAUGAUUACUCGAUGUUGGCGAUAAAC